CCACAAUUUUAUUUCUAUUUGUAGGGUUUAAAAUAAAGAAAAACAUCAAACCUUUGCAAAAAGAGAAUAGAGAGACUUUAUCCAUUGGGACCCUGAU